AGCUCCUUCCGAGUGUUUCUCCUGCGGAACGAGAAGGGGACUCUUACAGACAUGCUUGGCUUACGCUCGGGAUUCUGGUCCUGGAGCCCACAGUGCUCGGCGGUCACCAGCUCUGUGAUGUGGACAGAGAGGCCGAGGACGGGUGGAUGGACAGACCCCAGGCUGCCUCACUCGGGUCGGGAGUCCACUCUGGGACCUAGCACCGAGGCGGUGGGGCCAGGGGUCCCUCUCCACGGGAGUGAACUCCAAACCAAAACACACUCAAUGUUAUUUCUUGCAAACAGGGAGUCUCUUCCCAAAUUGUGCCUGUGUGAGUGGGGAAAAGCAUUAACCGUACAAACUCACAGGAUGGUGGUUCUCGGAAAACAUGGCGGAAUUGAAAAGAGGAAAGCAGGCACAGGUUCCAAAGCUG
ensembl:lncRNA